rnacentral:ncRNA from 1 species
AGGGUCCGCCCAUGCGCCGGUGGCCCGAAAGGGCUGAAACGGGAACGCGCGACGCGGUGAGACCCACCGCCCAUCCGCGGCUGCCCCCGCAACUGUAGGCGACGUGUCCGGUCCCCACUGCCAUUGCGCCUCGGCGCGAGAAGGCGGGGCCGGCGGAGGCGGCGCAAGCCCCCUUCCCGUCGCGAGCCAGGAGACCGGCCGGCGCAGAGUUGUCUCGC